rnacentral:lncRNA from 1 species
GGGGGUUGGGGUUUCAUGGUCUUAGGGAGAGAGAACCACUAGGAGGAAAAGAGGAAGAAGAAGUCACCAUGGAGUAGAAGCAAAAUGUGUAGGAGAGGGAGAAAAGAGAGCCACCAUGGGUUAGCUGAGUCAUAAGUACGUGGCCAUGAGAGCUGCCUAAUGAAGUUAAGAACACUCCAGAUGGAACAUAGAAAAUGGGUGGAGACAUGAGCUGAAAAUUACGG